CCUACGGGUGGCAGCAGUAGGGAAUAUUGCACAAUGGGCGAAAGCCUGAUGCAGCAACGCCGCGUGCGCGAUGAAGGCCUUCGGGUCGUAAAGCGCUUUUCGGGGAGAUGAGGAAGGACAGUAUCCCCGGAAUAAGGCUCGGCUAACUACGUGCCAGCAGCCGCGGUAAAACGUAGGAGCCUAGCGUUAUCCGAAUUUACUGGGCGUAAAGCGCGUGCAGGCGGUUCGGUAAGUUGGGUGUGAAAUCUCCUGGCUCAACUGGGAGAGGUCGCUCAAUACU
rnacentral:rRNA from 1 species